CACGGGUGCGUACACGUAUGCACCUACCCUCCGGAGGGGGAUAGUCGCGGGAAACUGCGAAUAAUACCCCAUGUGUUCAUUGGUUGGCAUCAACUGAUGAAGAAAGUUCCGGCGCCGGGGGAUGGGCAUGCGUCCCAUUAGCUAGUUGGUGAGGUAACCGGCUCACCAAGGCGACGAUGGGUAGCUGGUCUGAGAGGAUGAUCAGCCACACGGGCACUGAGACACGGGCCCGACUCCUACGGGAGGCAGCAGUAAGGAAUCUUGGUCAAUGGGGGCAACCCUGAACCAGCCAUGCCGCGUGGAGGAAGACGGCCCUCCGGGUUGUAAACUCCUUUAGUCAGGGACUAAUUGUGGGCUAUAGGCACACUUGCAGGUACCUGAAGAAUAAGCGCCGGCUAACUACGUGCCAGCAGCCGCGGUAAUACGUAGGGCGCAAGCGUUGUCCGGAUUUAUUGGGUUUACAGGGUGCGUAGGCGGAUUGUUAAGUUCGUGGUGAAAUCGUUCCGCUUAACGGAAUAACCGCCAUGGAUACUGGCAGUCUUGAGUGCGGUAGAGGAAGUUAGACUGCGUGGUUGUAGCGGUGAAAUGCCUAGAUUUUCACGCAGAAUACCGAUUGCGAAGGCCGAUUUCUAUACCGUAACUGACGCUGAGGCACGAAAGCGUGGGGAGCGACCAGGAUUAGAUACCCUGGUAGUCCACGCUGUA
rnacentral:rRNA from 1 species